UUGAACGCUGGCGGCAUGCCUUACACAUGCAAGUCGAACGGUAGAGGGGCAACCCUUGAGAGUGGCGAACGGGUGAGUAAUGCAUCGGAACGUGCCCAGUCGUGGGGGAUAACGCAGCGAAAGCUGUGCUAAUACCGCAUGUGAUCUAUGGAUGAAAGCAGGGGACCGCAAGGCCUUGUGCGAUUGGAGCGGCCGAUGUCAGAUUAGCUAGUUGGUAGGGUAAAAGCCUACCAAGGCGACGAUCUGUAGCUG
rnacentral:rRNA from 1 species